AGGACGAACGCUGGCGGCGUGCUUAACACAUGCAAGUCGAGCGGAAAGGCCCUUCGGGGUACUCGAGCGGCGAACGGGUGAGUAACACGUGAGCAACCUGCCCUUAGCUUCGGGAUAGCUCCGGGAAACCGGAAUUAAUACCGGAUAUGACUAUGGCCGACAUCAGCCAUGGUGGAAAGUUUUUCGGCUAGGGAUGGACUCGCGGCCUAUCAGCUAGUUGGUGAGGUAACGGCUCACCAAGGCGACGACGGGUAGCCGGCCUGAGAGGGCGACCGGCCACACUGGGACUGAGACACGGCCCAGACUCCUACGGGAGGCAGCAGUGGGGAAUAUUGCGCAAUGGGCGAAAGCCUGACGCAGCGACGCCGCGUGGGGAUGAAUGCCUUCGGGUUGUAAACCCUUUCAGCAGGGACGAAGCGAAGUGACGGUACCUGCAGAAGAAGCGCCGGCUAACUACGCGCCAGCAGCCGC
rnacentral:rRNA from 1 species